UACGUAGGGUGCAAGCGUUGUCCGGAAUUAUUGGGCAUAAAGAGCUCGUAGGCGGUUUGUCGCGUCUGCUGUGAAAAUCCAGGGCUUAACCCUGGACCUGCAGUGGGUACGGGCAGACUGGAGUGCGGUAGGGGAGAUCGGAAUUCCUGGUGUAGCGGUGAAAUGCGCAGAUAUCAGGAGGAACACCGGUGGCGAAGGCGGAUCUCUGGGCCGUAACUGACGCUGAGGAGCGAAAGCAUGGGGAGCGAACAGG
rnacentral:rRNA from 1 species